rnacentral:rRNA from 1 species
UACAGAGGUCUCAAGCGUUGUUCGGAUUCAUUGGGCGUAAAGGGCUCGUAGGCGGUUUGUCGCGUCGGGAGUGAAAACACCGGGCUUAACUCGGUGCUUGCUUUCGAUACGGGCAGACUAGAGGCAUGCAGGGGAGAACGGAAUUCCUGGUGUAGCGGUGAAAUGACGCAGAUAUCAGGAGGAACACCGGUGGCGAAGGCGGUGGUCUGGGCCGGCACUGACGCUGAGAAGCGAAAGCGUGGGGAGCGAACAGG